GACGAACGCUGGCGGCGUGCUUAACACAUGCAAGUCGAACGGGCCUGUCUUCUUUUUUGGGGGGUGGGUUGAGUGGCGAACGGGUGAGUAUCACGUGAGUAACCUGCCCUUCGGUCCUGGAUAACCGCUUGAAAGGGCGGCUAAUACGGGGUGGUCCGGUUGGUCCGCAUGGGCUGGUCGGGAUAGAUUCACUGUUUUUGGUGUUUCGGCGGGGGAUGGGCUCGCGGCCUAUCAGCUUGUUGGUGGGGUGAUGGCCUACCAAGGCGGUGACGGGUAGCCGGCCUGAGAGGGUGGGCGGCCACACUGGGGCUGAGAUACGGCCCAGACUCCUGCGGGAGGCAGCAGUGGGGGGUAUUGCACAAUGGGCGGAAGCCUGAUGCAGCGACGUCGCGUGAGGGAUGGAGGCCUUCGGGUUGUGAACCUCUGUUUCCGGUGGUGAAGGCCCUGUCCGUGUGGUGGGGUUGACGGUAGCCGGGGAUGAAGCGCCGGCUAACUACGUG
rnacentral:rRNA from 1 species